UACGUAGGGUGCAAGCGUUGUCCGGAAUUAUUGGGCGUAAAGAGCUCGUAGGCGGUUCGUCGCGUCGGCUGUGAAAACCCGGAGCUCAACUCCGGGCCUGCAGUCGAUACGGGCGGACUUGAGUACUGCAGGGGAGACUGGAAUUCCGGGUGUAGCGGUGGAAUGCGCAGAUAUCAGGAGGAACACCAAUGGCGAAGGCAGCUCGCUGGGACGGUACUGACGCUGAGACGCGAAAGCGUGGGGAGCAAACAGG
rnacentral:rRNA from 1 species